UACAGAGGUCUCAAGCGUUGUUCGGAUUCAUUGGGCGUAAAGGGUGCGUAGGCGGCGCGGUAAGUCGGGUGUGAAAUCUCGGAGCUUAACUCCGAAACUGCAUUCGAUACUGGCGUGCUUGAGGACUGGAGAGGAGACUGGAAUUCAUGGUGUAGCAGUGAAAUGCGUAGAGAUCAUGAGGAAGACCAGUGGCGAAGGCGGGUCUCUGGAAAGUUCCUGACACUGAGGCACGAAGGCCAGGGGAGCAAACGGG
rnacentral:rRNA from 1 species